UGCAAGUCGAGUGCGCGGCUGUAGCAAUACAGCUGGCGCACGGCGCACGGGUGCGUAACACGUGGGCAAUCUGCCCUCAGAUGGGGGAUAACCCCGCGAAAGCGGGGCUAAUACCGCAUGACAUUCCGGGGACUACGGUCCCUGGACUCAAAGGCCGCAAGGCCGUCAGAGGAGGAGCCCGCGCCCGAUUAGCUAGUUGGUGAGGUAACGGCUCACCAAGGCUUUGAUCGGUAGCCGGUCUGAGAGGAUGGCCGGCCACACUGGAACUGAGACACGGUCCAGACUCCUACGGGAGGCAGCAGUGGGGAAUAUUGCGCAAUGGGCGAAAGCCUGACGCAGCGACGCCGCGUGGGGGAUGAAGCUUCUCGGAGUGUAAACCCCUUUCGACCCGGACGAAUGACCCGCAAGGGUUUGACGGUACGGGUAUAAGAAGCCCCGGCUAACUACGUGCCAGCAGCCGCGGUAAUACGUAGGGGGCCAGCGUUGCUCGGAAUUACUGGGCGUAAAGGGUUCGUAGGUGGUGCGGCAAGUUGGGAGUGAAAUCUCUGGGCUUAACCCAGAGGCUGCUUUCAAAACUGCCGCGCUCGAGUGCGAGAGAGGCCAGUGGAAUUGCAGGUGUAGCGGUGAAAUGCGUAGAUAUCUGCAGGAACACCCGUGGCGAAGGCGGCUGGCUGGAUCGCAACUGACACUGAGGAACGAAAGCUAGGGGAGCAAACAGGAUUAGAUACCCUGGUAGUCCUAGCCCUAAACCAUCAGAACUUGGGGUGGCCCGCGUAGCGGGUCGUCCCGUAGCUAACGCGUUAAGUUCUGCGCCUGGGGAGUACGGUCGCAAGACUGAAACUCAAAGAAUUGACGGGGGCCCGCACAAGCGGUGGAACAUGUGGUUCA
rnacentral:rRNA from 1 species